GAUGAACGCUGGCGGCGUGCCUAAUACAUGCAAGUCGAGCGAACGGACGAGAAGCUUGCUUCUCUGAUGUUAGCGGCGGACGGGUGAGUAACACGUGGAUAACCUACCUAUAAGACUGGGAUAACUUCGGGAAACCGUAGCUAAUACCGGAUAAUAUUUUGAACCGCAUGGUUCAAAAGUGAAAGACGGUCUUGCUGUCACUUAUAGAUGGAUCCGCGCUGCAUUAGCUAGUUGGUAAGGUAACGGCUUACCAAGGCAACGAUGCAUAGCCGACCGGAGAGGGUGAUCGGCCACACUGGAACUGAGACACGGUCCAGACUCCUACGGGAGGCAGCAGUAGGGAAUCUUCCGCAAUGGGCGAAAGCCUGACGGAGCAACGCCGCGUGAGUGAUGAAGGUCUUCGGAUCGUAAAACUCUGUUAUUAGGGAAGAACAUAUGUGUAAGUAACUGUGCACAUCUUGACGGUACCUAAUCAGAAAGCCACGGCUAACUACGUG
rnacentral:rRNA from 1 species